rnacentral:rRNA from 1 species
GACGAACGCUGGCGGCGUGCUUAACACAUGCAAGUCGAGCGGUAAGGCCCUUUCGGGGGUACACGAGCGGCGAACGGGUGAGUAACACGUGGGUGACCUGCCCUCAGCUCUGGGAUAAGCCUGGGAAACCGGGUCUAAUACUGGAUAUGACUCCAUGACGCAUGUUGUGGGGUGGAAAGCCUUGUGCGGCUGAGGAUGGGCCCGCGGCCUAUCAGCUUGUUGGUGGGGGAUGGCCUACCAAGGCGACGACGGGUAGCCGGCCUGAGAGGGCGACCGGCCACACUGGGACUGAGACACGGCCCAGACUCCUACGGGAGGCAGCAGUGGGGAAUCUUGCGCAAUGGGCGAAAGCCUGACGCAGCGACGCCGCGUGAGGGA